GUGCAGUAACGGCACUUACUAGUUACUUAACUUUGAGAACAAACACAACGGGUCCACUAUUCCUCAACUCCAGUGGAGAAGCUGUUUCUAGACAAUUAUUCCAACAUGCUCUGAAUGGUGCUUUGAACUUUUGUGGGCUCAGCAGAGCAUAUUACAAACCUCAUAGUUUCAGGAUAGGCUUUGCUACCGACGCAAGUGCAAAAGGAUUGUCCACAGAAACCAUAAGAAAUUUAGGUAGAUGGAAAUCCGAUGCAUUCAAAUUAUAUAUUAGACAAUCAGGUCAAAUUUCUAACCUUUAGUCAUGUUUAUCUGUCUCACAACUGAUCAUGUAAUGACGUAAUUUGUGAAUGAAUUACUGCCGUUUAUUAUUUUAUAUUUUGUACAGGGCUUGUGGGUCACAGCUCAUUACAUAUCACAAACAGAAUAACAGUUCAUAUAAUAUGGAAACGGUGGACAAUUGGGAAAGGUGAAUUAUGACGCUUAUUUAAGCUGAUACAAGGACAACCUAAAACCAGGAAUUCAUCCGUUUACCAUUGAAAUGACCAAAUUUUACUGAGAAGUAAUUGACAGAAAACAGCUUGCCAGGACUGGAAUCUUAAAAUCUCCCAUUUACAUGUAGUAAUAUUUAUCAGUAAACUUAUAACAAUAUUUAAGGAAAUACAGUUAUCUGAAAGGGAAAAUAGGUAUUAAUACAAUUAUUGAAUGCAUGUUUUUGCUGUAACAAACUUGGUCUGUUAUUGCAUCAAGUAAAAAUAUUUGUUUGACACAAUGUCUGUAAAUUGUGUCUUCUUAGUAUAUUUUGGUUUGUAUCAAGUAGAUACAUGGUUAGGACACAAUGUCUGUAAAUUGUGUCUUUUUAGUAUAUUUUGGUUUGUAUCAAGUAGAUACAUUGAUAGGACACAAUGUCUGUAAAUUGUGUCUUUUUAUUAUAUUUUAGUUUGUAUCAAGUAGAUACAUUGAUAGGACACAAUGUCUGUAAAUUGUGUCUUCUUAGUAUAUUUUGGUUUGUAUCAAGUAGAUACAUUGAUAGGACACAAUGUCUGUAAAUUGUGUCUUUUUAGUAUAUUUUGUUUGUAUCAAGUAGAUACAUUGAUAGGACACAAUGUCUGUAAAUUGUGUCUUUUUAGUAUAUUUUAGUUUGUAUCAAGUAGAUACAUUGAUAGGACACAAUGUCUGUAAAUUGUGUCUUUUUAGUAUAUUUGGUUGGUAUCAAGUAGACACAUGGUUAGGACACAAUGUCUGUAAAUUGUGUCUCUUUAGUUUAUGAUUGGUUGUAUAAAGUAGAUACGUAGGUAGGACACAAUGUCUGUAAAUUGUGUCUUUUAGGAUAAAGGACAUUCGUGGGACUCAAUGUCUGUAUAUUGUGUAUUUUUAGUAUAUACAUUUGUUGCAUAAUUUUUUACUUGUUUAUAAACAGUACAUAGAAUCGUAAGUUUUAUCAUUUGCAUAAGUAGGAUGAUGGGUGAUGCAGGUUUACUUUAGGGCAGCGUUUUCAGCUCCAUAAGAGCUUCAUACGUCAUGGCGGUAUCUGCUCCCAAAAGUUGAGAUGUUACACUAUUAUUAACAAAUUUAUAGUCAAGGGGAGAUAACUCUAAAUUGAUUGACUUUUCAAAAAUUUCAAUUUUAAUAAUUGAUGACAUUUGUCUUUUCACUUAUUACAUAAUAUGCUUAUUGGUUCAGAUUGUAAUGAAAGUAUUGUAUAUUUAAAUUCACAAUUGGUACUUAUAAUUGUAGUGUAUGCAAAUUUUAUACAUGUAUCUUUUGAUAUGAUUGAUUUUGAAACAUAAACUGUCACAUCUGUGGCCUGCAUCAUCAUAACAUGUGUUAGUUUUUAUUUUGACUUUAGCGGACCAUAAAUACACUUAUGUGCAGCAUAAGUGACUUUAUGGUACAAUGAAAGAUUGUAACUUUUAAUUGUAUUAAGUCUUUUGAUAUCAUGUUUUGUAAAUGUUAGAAAUAUUAGAAAUAUGUAGAAAAUAGUUUUGUACAGUACAUAGGUGUUUAUCUGACUUGAAACUCUUAGGAAUUUUGUAAUUGAUAUGGGGGCGCUACUUCAAGCACAUGUUUUAAUAUGCAGCCUCUUUUUCAAAUAGCUGCUGAAGGAAGAACACGUACAGAAAUUUGGUGACACUCAAUUUCAUAAAAUAUUUUAAUCCCCUCCUCCUUCCCCUACUUCCACCUUGAAAAGAGUUUCUUUCAUUGUUAAAAGGUGACGAAAAGAGGCGGUAUCUGCUCCCAAAAGUUGAGAUGUUACACUAUUAUUAACAAAUUUAUAGUCAAGGGGAGAUAACUCUAAAUUGAUUGACUUUUCAAAAAUUUCAAUUUUAAUAAUUGAUGACAUUUGUCUUUUCACUUAUUACAUAAUAUGCUUAUUGGUUCAGAUUGUAAUGAAAGUAUUGUAUAUUUAAAUUCACAAUUGGUACUUAUAAUUGUAGUGUAUGCAAAUUUUAUACAUGUAUCUUUUGAUAUGAUUGAUUUUGAAACAUAAACUGUCACAUCUGUGGCCUGCAUCAUCAUAA